rnacentral:rRNA from 1 species
GUUGAUCCUGCGGGAGGUUGCUGCUAUUGGAGUCCGAUUAAGCCAUGCAAGCCAAGGGGAUGUUUACAUCACCGGCAGACUGCUCAGUAACACGCCAAUAAUCUAACUUUAGGUUCGGGAUAACCUCGGGAAACUGAGGCUAACACCGAAUAGGAAAAUUCUACUGGAAUGUGUUUUUUCAUAAAAGUAAUGCCUAAAGAUGAGAUGGCGGUCGAUUAGGUUGUUGGUGGGGUAAUGGCCCACCAAGCCGAAGAUCGAUAGAGGCCUUGAGAGAGGGAGCCUCGAGAAGGGCACUUAGACACUGGCCCUAGCCCUACGGGGUGCAGCAGGCGCGAAACCUUUACAAUGCAUGAAAGUGUGAUAGGGGGACUCCAAGUGCUAAUGUUCUACAUUGGCUUUUUUCAAGGCAAAAUACCUUGAAGAAUAAGUGGUGGGCAAGACUUGUGCCAGCCGCCGCGGUAACACCAGCGCCACAAGUGGCAACCAGUAUUAUUGGGCCUAAAGCGUCCGUAGCCGGUCUUGAAAAUCUUUUGUGAAAUCGUUUGGCUCAACCAAACGGCGAGCAGAAGAGACUGCAAGACUUGGAAUCGGGAGGAGUCAGGAGUAUUUCUGGGGGAGCGGUAAAAUGUUAUAAUCCCAGAAGGACUACCGGUGGCGAAGGCGCCUGACUAGAACGAAUUCGACGGUGAGGGACGAAAGCUAGGGGAGCAAUCCGGAUUAGAUACCCGAGUAGUCCUAGCUGUAAACUCUGCGAGCUAGGUGUUGCGUAUUCUUAGUGAAUAUGCAGUGUCGAAGCGAAGGUGAUAAGCUCGCCGCCUGGGGAGUACGGUCGCAAGACUGAAACUUAAAGGAAUCGGCGGGGGAGCACUACAAGGGGUGCGGCGUGCGGUUUAAUCUAAUUCCACACAGAGAAUCUCACCAGAAGCGACGGCAGGAUGAAGGUCAGUCUGAAGGGCUUGCCUAACGAGCCGAGAGGUAGUGCAUGGCCGCCGUCAGCUCGUGCCGUAAGGUGUCCUGUUAAGUCAGGCAACGAGCGAGACCAGCACUUACAAUUGCUAGCAACUCUUUUCAGAGGAUUGAGCACAUUGUGAGAACUGCUCCUGAAAAGGAGGGGAAGGUGCAGGCUACGGUAGGUCUGUAUGCUCCGAAUCUUCUGGGCUACACGCGCGCAACAAUGGUAGGGACAAUGGGCUACGACUCCGAAAGGAGAAGUUAAUCCUCUAAACCCUAUCCAAGUCCAGAUUGAGGAUUGUAACUCAUCCUCAUGGCGAUGGAAUCCCUAGUAAUCAGAGUUUAUCAUACUCCGGUGAAUAUGUCCCUGCUCCUUCCACACACCGCCCGUCAAGCCACCCGAGUAGGGUUUAGAUGAGGAUCAGUUUUUAACUAGUUCGAAUCUAAGCUUUGCGAGGAGGGUUAAGUCGUCACAAGGUA